rnacentral:rRNA from 1 species
ACCCUUGACAUGUCUGGAAUGCCGAAGAGAUUUGGCAGUGCUCGCAAGAGAACCGGAACACAGGUGCUGCAUGGCUGUCGUCAGCUCGUGUCGUGAGAUGUUGGGUUAAGUCCCGCAACGAGCGCAACCCUUGUCAUUAGUUGCUACGAAAGGGCACUCUAAUGAGACUGCCGGUGACAAACCGGAGGAAGGUGGGGAUGACGUCAAGUCCUCAUGGCCCUUAUGGGUAGGGCUUCACACGUCAUACAAUGGUCGGGACAGAGGGCUGCCAACCCGCAAGGGGGAGCCAAUCCCAGAAACCCGAUCGUAGUCCGGAUCGCAGUCUGCAACUCGACUGCGUGAAGUCGGAAUCGCUAGUAAUCGCGGAUCAGCAUGUCGCGGUGAAUACGUUCCCGGGUCUUGUACACACCGCCCGUCACACCAUGGGAGUGGGUUUUACCAGAAGUAGUUAGCCUAACCGCAAGGGGGGCGAUUACCACGGUAGGAUUCAUGACUGGGGUGAAGUCGUAACAAGGUAAGCGUAGCGAG